rnacentral:rRNA from 1 species
UACGGAAGGGGCGAGCGUUGUUCGGAAUCAUUGGGCGUAAAGGGCGCGUAGGUGGUUCUGUAUGUCUACCGUGAAAGCGUACGGCUCAACUGUACUUUGUCGGUAGAAACUGCAGGACUUGAGGCUGGGAGGGGCUGGUGGAAUUCCCUGUGUAGCGGUGAAAUGCGUAGAGAUGGGGGAGAACACUCGUGGCGAAGGCGGCCAGCUAGACCAGUUCUGACACUGAGGCGCGACAGCGUGGGGAGCAAACAGG